rnacentral:rRNA from 1 species
AUGAGACAGCGCUCGCGUCUUAACUGGAUCCGUUUGGGGGAUGCCACCACCAAGCUUUUCCAUGCCCGAGCCAAUGGAAGAAGGCACAAGAAUUUCAUUCAGACAAUCAGGACCGACGUCGGGCUGGCAAUUACAACUGAAGACAAGGAGCGGGCCCUCCUCGACCACUUCCAAGAACACCUCGGAAGGCCGACACGGCGAUCCAAACGUCUGGCCUGGGAGAACAUCGGUAUGCAGCGCCACGACCUAUCUCAGCUGGACGCCCCGUUUGAUGAAGAAGAGAUCAAGGAGGCAGUUUUCUCUAUGCCUUCGGUCAAGGCGCCAGGACCAGACGGGUUCAUUGGCGCCUUCUUCAAGUCCUGCUGGGAGAUUAUCAAGACCGACGUCGUGGCCGCAAUCCUACAACUGGCAGAUCUACGCGGUGAUUGCACCGGGCUGAUCAACUCGGCGAACAUAAUUCUGCUGCCAAAGAAGGUAGACGCCACCAGGAUUGGGGACUACCGCCCAAUCAGCCUCAUCCACAGCAUCUCGAAGAUUUUCUCGAAGUUGUUAGCAAACCGGCUCGCCCCUCUGCUCCCCACGCUAGUCUCCAAGAGCCAGAGCGCCUUCGUGAAGAAACGGUGCAUCCAUGAUAACUUCCUUCAUGUGCAGAACUUGGUAAAGGAGUUGCAUCGCACGUCAACGCCUGGCCUCUUCCUCAAGCUGGACAUCUCAAAGGCCUUCGACUCUGUCGGCUGGGCUUACCUACUGGAGGUACUCGAGCAACUUGGUUUCAGUCAACGUUGGCGGGACUGGAUUUGCAUGUCCUUGGCAUCAUCUUCUUUGCGGAUUCUGCUAAAUGGAAACCCGGGCCCCCCUUUUGCUCACGCUUGCGGCCUGCGUCAGGGUGACCCUAUGUCCCCCAUGCUUUUCAUCCUUGCAAUUGACCCGCUUCAACUUAUGCUCCGGGCUGCCUCCAACGCCGGGAUUCUGCAGCCGAUCAAGGCUCGUUCGACUGCCUGCAGAAUUUCACUUUACGCUGAUGACGCGGUCAUCUUUGCCAACCCUGUGAAGGAAGAAUUGGACGCCAUUGCGGGAAUACUUGCCUGUUUUGGGGAGGCAUCGGGUCUCAUUACCAACGUGACCAAGACGGAGGUGUUCGCUAUUCGCUGCCAGUAG